AUUCGACCUCAAAUCAGGUAGGACUACCCGCUGAACUUAAGCAUAUCAAUAAGCGGGAUAAGA
rnacentral:rRNA from 1 species